UAGGUAGCAAAUGAAGAGUUUCAGCUUAAAAGAAGAUGCAUAUUUUCAGCUUCGAUUUGAGCAACUGGAAUGCAGUUCAGGUGAUGCAAAAGAAAAAAAUUCGUCAUUACUCACUGUUCGGGACCCGUCAUUAACACACAAAAACCCUCGAUACCGAGGCUAGGGUUACUAAUUAUGCAAUUUAUAACUAUAUUUCUAAUUUAUACAUGAUGUUUUGCUUUAAUUUUCUGAUUUUUGAUAGGUCAUAUUCCUUAAUUCAUAUAGAACCUAACAAGAUGAGGAGGGGCUUUGCUCGGAUGGUCGACCUUCAGAGUGUUCAGUAAGUAAAAUAUCUGAAUAAAGGUAACUUAAUUUCUAAAAUAUGAAAUUGUUGUAGGGAGUUUGAUGGUUCAUUAGUUUGGUUAAGGUUUCAUUUGAUUUGAUGAUGUAGAUGCUAUAUCAAAAUUAGAUGAAGCAUUGUCAAUUGAUCCACAGAAAUAUGAUGCCUUGUGGUGUAUGGGCAAUGGGCAAACUUCUUAUGCUUUUUAACUCCUGAUAAAGAUGAAGCUAAGGGUUAUUUAGAUCUGACUUAAUACUUUUUUCAGCAAGCUGUUGAAGAGGUAUUCAUGUUUGAAAACUUAGUUUGAUACUAUAAUUGUCGUAACCAUCAUCAUUCUUGCAAGGGAGAUCGAAAUUGGAGUUGAUGGUAACUACUUAUUUGAGUUCAUUAUUCCUUUAUCAUCAGCAUUUUAUCGCCAUUAAUGGCGGUCGAUGCAGUUGCAAAGUGAAGGGACCAAAACGGUUCAUGUAAGUUACUCGAGGGGUAGUAUUGAAUUAGAAUUUUAAAAAAGGUUGAUUACAAAUUUACAAAUAUGAGAUAUGUACCCUAUCGCCCAUAUAUAUUUAUUAAUACAAUUAGAAUAUUACGUGCCUUCCGUACGAAGAGUUUAAACGAGUAGGGCACAUGUUGGAUGAAUGUAAUUAUACUUUCCAGGGAAUUAGUAUAUUCAAUGUUUGAUAGUCACAAUGAAGGAAAAAUUGUUUAAUUUUAUAUUGUUGUUUAAUUUUAAACCUGGGUUUUAUGUGAAUAUUGUUUUAGAAUUCAGACUUGCUGAUUUAUUUUGGACCGGGGAGUUGCCUCAUUGUUUUGAUUCACCUAGAAUUUUAAUUCAUUGAUGCUUUGUGGAUCUAUAGUCUGGCUGGGUUGUAAUAUUUGUUAAUCAUACACAUAAUUAUUACAGUUUCAAAAUUUUAUAGAUGAUUAUUUUGUUUCUAUUUAUUGUAAUUUAUGUGAUCUUUAACAUUUUUUGUAGAUAGAUUCAUGUUUGUCUUCUACUUGUAUCUUUUAGUUUAGUAUCUUCAUUGGCUGAUUUUUAACAGAAUGUCCCCAAAACUGGAAAUGUGGAAGGCUUAUCUUUCGACUAUAAUCUAUGUAAAGCAGUUGCCACAUGGGAGCAGAAUGGACUCAAUUUACUAAAGGAACGGUUUUGGCAACUUGAAGAUCUUCAAAGGGACUCGACUAUCUUUAAAAUGUAUUUCCAUUUGUCACUAAUUUACGUAACAUGACACUUUGGUUGUAUUUUAUUUUAUUUUUACCUUAGCCAUUGAAAAGUGAUUAUCUCAUCUAUAAUUAAGAUAGGAUAAGUAGCUGUGAUAGAAAUUUGGUAGAAAAUUGUG